GGGGGCGACAGGCUUCGACAGGGGCUUGUAUAGAUCUUUGAGUGCACGUCGGGCUUGCGUGGUUAGCUCGUUAAAACAACUACUGCAAACACAAAUGCUAAUCAAGAAUUAGCUCUCGCUGCCUAAUUAAAUUUAGCUACAGCGAUGUCUUACCGGAAGUUCGCCUGAUGCGACCGGAUAAGGCAUAACUCAGUUCGGGCUCGCGUCUUACCACCACCUGCGGUACGAAGUUAAAGUUAGUCGGGUUAGCCUUUGACGAGGUCUUGUCCAUUCAUCUGCUCGUCUUUGGUGAAAUUCAAGUGAAUGGACUAAACGUGUAGAUCUCACUGGUCGCAACCUUUGGAUGCGGGUUCGAUUCCCGCCGCCUCCACCA
rnacentral:tmRNA from 1 species